AGCCAGUGUGCAUUUACGCUUCACCGCGAUCAGUUGUGCCUAAGCUCCCGUGGGCUGAGUGUGAGUUCGUCCUCACUAGUGAGCGCGUUACAAAAUGUAUGAAAAUUGUAGUUAAACGUUCCGCUAGGGACGCUGUACAAUCCGUCAUACAUUUAAUGUCAUUUUUUGCGCGCUCACUAGUGAGCGCGUUUGAUGUACACUCACACUAGGCCCUCGGAGUGCUUACCAAACCCAGUUUCGCCUUCAAGAUCCGACAGUGAACCACAGAUGAGACACCAGUGAACCAGUGAGGCAGUGACUGUGUUAGAGUACAGGAAACUGUGAGACAUCACACAUAUGGAAAUAUUAAGAUAUUCAAAGACAGCGACUAUUAUUACCUGGAUGGGUCGGACUCGAGCGUCGCGAACUGGAUGCGAUACGUGGCCUCAGCGUAUUCGCUCUCCGUGAUGAACCUCGUCGCCUGCCAGCACCAGGAACACAUUUACUUCUACACGAUAAGAGAUAUCAUGCCCAACGAAGAGCUAAUGGUGUGGUAUUGCAAGGAUUUUGCAACAAGGCUCGGUUAUGACAUCGAUCCUGAACGAGCCACUUAUUCUAUCUGUAAAGAAGAAACUAUCAAAAAAGCUUAUGGCUUGCCACCAGCACCCGUUCACCCUGAAAUCGCAUUCAACCACAUGAAAUAUGUUCUGGGCUUAACAAAUGCCAAGGAGUUAUUAGAAGCUGAAAUUCCUAGUCGCCGAAGAAAACGAGAAGCGACUGACAAACCUUUUAUUGAUAAUUCUAAUUUAAUUUCCCGUGAAGAACCACGAAGCAAAAAUGAGAGAACAAUUUUAUUGUUCGAACUGACAUUUCUUCUAACAAACCAGAAAGCCCCAUUAUUCCUGAACAAACACCGCUAUCGCCAAAUGGAUUAAUGCAACCACCAUCACCUGUGAAAAUGCACAGACACUCCGAAAAUCCAACUCUAAUUAUUCAACACAAAGAAAGCACAUCACAUGUUGUUAUACAUCAAAUGGAGAAUCCCAGAGCAUACAGCAAUAGGUCGCCUGCUCAAAACCAACAUCUUAGAGAUAUGCGCGGACCGUCUCCUAUGGCGCAAAAUCAUCAUCAUCAAGAUAAAUUGGGAAGCAGAUCUCCAAGCCUAACUCACUGUGGGCCACCUCAUUAUGAGCCGCAACUAACACCCAACGAUGGUUCGGUGCGAUCAGACGAGGGGUACCAUAGCAAUGGCUACCAUGAUGAAUUCACUCCUCCCGAAGAUUCAAGCGACUCUGAUGUUGAAAAUUAUGUCUUGGAUUGUUCGAACAAAACAAAUGAACCUAAAGAAACCAUUAUUGUUCAGAAGAUGGACCAAGAAAUGCAUCGCAACGAAUAUAGGAAAGUUAAAAUUAAAAUGCCUAGAGCGUAUCAGUAUCAAAACCUCAAAAACAUGGAUUGUGAAAGUGAAAAGGAAUUAAUGAUAGCCGAAGAAGUUGCCAAUACAACGCCACAAAAUCUGUCACCUCCACGGCGAGACCCCGCUACAUCAACGGUCAUAGUACUUGAACCGUCUCAAAAUACUAUAAUACCAGUCAACAAACCAUACUACGAAGACGGCACUUUAUCACCUCCGCAACCGGCUUUCAUGAGAUACUCACCCCCCGAUACCUACAUACUUUAAUUUUAGAAAAAUAAAUAUGACAUGAAAUAAAUGUUAAUGAAAAGUGUAAUGAAAAUAAUAGAAAAUAAUUUUAUUGACAUUAAUCUGAACACACUAAAAGGCCCAGUUUUUUGAUUCAUAGUUAAAAUAACGAAUUGUUAAAUUUUGCUACUAAUGGUUAAAUAUUAACAACAUGUAAACAGAUGAUUAAAAAAUUUACUAAAAGUCAAGCUAACCAUUGUUCGAAAAACAUUUUAUUCUGAUAUAUUUCCUGUUAUGUCGAUCGAUAUCAUAUCAUAGAUGAACCUAUUAGCAUGUCUCCUUUGCGCGUCCUCUGUUCUAAUGUGCCACGCGAGCCAGCUUAAUAAUGGUGGAAACAAAAAUGCAAUUUCUAUUACAAACCCUACACUCGAAGCUAUAAAUGGGACGCCAAAUUAUAGACUGCUGAAUCCUUUUAGAGCUACACCAUGGUAUCCAGAAAGAGAGAUGAAACUAGACAGCUGUGUGAGAAAAGCUCAUUGCGAGCAGCUGGAUAAGCUGACCUGUUUAGGUGCCAAACUAUCUUAUGACAAAACCAGCGUACAUCUAACUUUUUAUGAGACUCAAAAUGAAAUUCAGAUGCAGCUGGAACAGUACAAGGAGUUGAUAAAUGUGCCAAAAUGCUGGGCGGUCAUACAGCCUUUACUCUGUGCGACUUUCAUGCCUAAAUGCGAGGAGAUUCUCGGCCAAGACAUGGUGUACUUGCCUUCCUACGAGAUGUGCAAAAUCACCAUGGAACCUUGCGCAAUACUGUACAAUACCUCAUAUUUUCCGUCCUUUUUGAAAUGCAAUUCUACACUGUUUCCGUCUCGAUGCGAUAACGCUUGGAGAGAGAUGAAGUUUAAUACGACUGGGAAAUGUUUGCCACCACUUAUACAUACCAAUAAGCAGUUACAUUUUUAUGAAGGUAUCUAUGCAUUUUCAAGUUUGAUAGCUUACAUUUUCUUACCUGAAAAGUUUCUUGAUACAGUUAAUAUUAUGUAAUUUUAAGUUUAAUGUAUGUUUUAACGUGUUAAGUAUAAGAAUAUGAGGAUGGUCAAAUAUUUUCCAAACUUAAUUUUAAUGGACAGAAAGAGAAAGAGAGAGAAUAGAGAAGUAUCGCACCCGUUCACCCUGAAAUCGCAUUCAACCACAUAAAAUAUGUUCUGGGCUUAACAAAUGCCAAGGAGUUAUUAGAAGCUGAAAUUCCUAGUCGCCGAAGAAAACGAGAAGCGACUGACAAACCUUUUAUUGAUAAUUCUAAUUUAAUUUCCCGUGAAGAACCACGAAGCAAAACUGAGAGAACAAUUUUAUUGUUCGAACUGACAUUUCUUCUAACAAACCAGAAAGCCCCAUUAUUCCUGAACAAACACCGCUAUCGCCAAAUGGAUUAAUGCAACCACCAUCACCUGUGAAAAUGCACAGACACUCCGAAAAUCCAACUCUAAUUAUUCAACACAAAGAAAGCACAUCACAUGUUGUUAUACAUCAAAUGGAGAAUCCCAGAGCAUACAGCAAUAGGUCGCCUGCUCAAAACCAACAUCUUAGAGAUAUGCGCGGACCGUCUCCUAUGGCGCAAAAUCAUCAUCAUCAAGAUAAAUUGGGAAGCAAAUCUCCAAGCCUAACUCACUGUGGGCCACCUCAUUAUGAGCCGCAACUAACACCCAACGAUG